rnacentral:lncRNA from 1 species
AAAACUGUUUGCUUAAUAUUUCAGGUGGGUGACUGGACUUAGUUUAAUGAUAACAUUUUUGUGUUUCGAAAUGCUUGCCUUUGUGCUUGGCCUAACAAUGUUUGACAGCAAUUCCGCAUUAAUGUCCGUCACUGGUCAUGCUACAUCAUCCAUAUUUCUAACUGGCUUAAUACUAAAUGGUUGGCAGUGCGACUGGUUCUGGAUGAUUUUUAGCUUUGGAAGUGUUUUGCCGUUUGUAUACGAUACAAUUAUAAGUAUAGAUAUACUCAUUGGAAGAAAGUACUAAUCUAUCAUAGUCGUAAAUAAAUACGCUUUAAAGUUGUUGCACGAUUUUCUUUCCAUUUUAUCCAUUUGGCUUAAUAAAGAAGUUUUGGUCAUUAACA